rnacentral:rRNA from 1 species
GAUGAACGCUGGCGGCGUGCCUAAUACAUGCAAGUCGAGCGAACGGACGAGAAGCUUGCUUCUCUGAUGUUAGCGGCUGACGGGUGAGUAACACGUGGAUAACCUACCUAUAAGACUGGGAUAACUUCGGGAAACCGGAGCUAAUACCGGAUAAUAUUUUGAACCGCAUGGUUCAAAAGUGAAAGACGGUCUUGCUGUCACUUAUAGAUGGAUCCGCGCUGCAUUAGCUAGUUGGUAAGGUAACAGCUUACCAAGGCAACGAUGCAUAGCCGACCUGAGAGGGUGAUCGGCCACACUGGAACUGAGACACGGUCCAGACUCCUACGGGAGGCAGCAGUAGGGAAUCUUCCGCAAUGGGCGAAAGCCUGACGGAGCAACGCCGCGUGGGUGAUGAAGGUCUUCGGAUUGUAAAACUCUGUUAUUAGGGAAGAACAUAUGUGUAAGUAACUGUGCACAUCUUGACGGUACCUAAUCAGAAAGCCACGGCUAACUACGUG